UUUCCCCUGCGGUGUUCGUCAGGCUCAUAAUUCUUUGGACCAAUAAGCUCUGCUUAGGCCGCGCCCCUUAAUGUUACUGUUGUGCGCAUCCCCUGCGGAUGUACCUGAUGUAACUGGGAACCGGCUCUCUUGAACCCAGGUUCAAGAUGUUGGGUCAACGGCACAGGCGGGGGGCUU
rnacentral:other from 2 species